GCUCUAAAGUAUAUAAACAUUGUAGAGUAGGCCAUUCAAAGAUACUGAAGAAAAAUAGCUUCACUCCCACACAAGAACUUACUUGCUGAUUGCAGAAAUGGAAGGAAAUGAAUGGCCAUACUCCGUAUACCUGAAAUCUUAAGAAAAGCUAUUUUCUCUGAGAUCUUGGCCUCUGGAUAUCUGGCAAAAAUCUGUCUUUCCAAGCAGAAAAGGAAUUUAUAAAGACCCCCAAUUGAGAAGGACUUUUGAAAUACCAUCUUUAUUCAGCUAUUAUCCAUGGUUUCCUCAUAACUUGCACAAUCCUUCUGGCUAUAGAAGAAGAAAACUAUGGGAAUUGAGAUAACAGCAUUUUGGCCUUUUUUACACCCAGUCAUUUCACUACAAUAAAAAAUUGCUGAGAGAGA